rnacentral:pre_miRNA from 1 species
GAGUAUAAAGUUGUAAGUUGGUUUGAUGAAUCUUUUAGAUUGAAGAAAAGAAGGACUAGUAAGAUGGCUUAUAAGCUGGAUUUUGAGAGUGAGUGAGCUCUUCUACGCAUUGGCUUAUAAGCCAUCUUACUAGUCUUUCUUUUCUUCAAUGUGGGGAUCAUAACAGUUUUAAGGAAUGUCUC